GUGCCCCUGCAGGGACGGCUGCUGGUGCUCCCCACACAAGUGCCAAUGUUUGUAUGGAUCCCACGGCCCCUCCUUCCCACCUCUCCCUCCUCUCCCGUCGUGUCUCACCGCCUCCCUCAGCCCCCUCUGCCUUAGUCAGCUCUGCCUUCUUUUGCUCCAAAAGCCUGAAUGUUUUGCACUUGAAUAUAAAAAGUUCCUCUCAGAGCUCAGGAGGUUGUGCCAGGUGUGCAGCCCUGCCAGCAAUAGGUGCUUCCUCAUCUCCUGUUCCCAGCAAUCCCUGUUCUGUUCCCUUAUCUCCUUUCUCAGCAAUCCCAGUUCUGUUCCCUUAUCUCCUUUCUCAGCAAUCCCUGUUCUGUUCCCUUAUCUCCUUUCUCAGCAAUCCCUGUUCCCUCCUUUCCAGCCUUUCCAGCAAUAGGUGCUUCCACAUUUCUUGCCUUUCUAGCAAUACCUGUUCUCCUCCCUCACCUCCUGCCUUUCCAGCAAUUCCUGUUCUAUUCCUUCAUCUCCUGCCUUUCCAGCAAUGGGUGCUUCCAUAGCUCCCAUUUCCAGCAAUAUCUGCUCUUUCCAUCUCCUGCUUCCAGCAAUACCUGUUCCUCACCUCCUGCCUUUCCAGCAAUAGGUGCUUCCACACCUCCUGCCUUUUCAGCAAUUCCUGUUUUAUUCCCUCAUCUCCUGCCUUUCCAGCAAUAGGUGCUUCCACACCUCCUGCCUUUCUAGCAAUACCUAUUUUAUUCUCUCACCUCCUGCCUUUUCAGCAAUUCCUGUUUUAUUCCCUCAUCUCCUGCCUUUUCAGCAAUGGGUGUUUCCGCACCUCUGCCUUUCUAGCAAUAGUGGUUCUGUUUCCCUCUCUCCUGCCCUUGCAGCAGUGGUGUUUCCCUCUGUCCUGCCCUUGCAGCAGUGGUGUUUCCAUCUCUCCUGCCCUUGCAGCAGUGGUGUUUCCCUCUCUCCUGCCUCUCCAGCAGAACUGCUCCCCCAUCUCCCGUUUGCAGCCAUCCCUGCCCCUCCCAGCCCCAGGAGCCCAGGUGAGCAGGGGUCCCUUCCCUUGCUGCUGGAGCUGAGUGGGGCAGCGAUGGAGGCUCCGUGUCUGUCCCGCAGUGACAGGACCAGCAGGUCCCUCCCAGUUCAGCGGGUCCCUCCCAGUUCAGCGGGUCCCUCCUGUGCUGGGAAAGGUGUCUGACAGAUGCUCCUGUCUCUGUUCUCUGUUUCCCCGCCCUGCUGGGCUGGAGAUUUGGGGUUUCCCCCUCAGCACACAGAAUUUUUGUGCAGAAGAGCAGCCCAGCAGCACUGGGGUGGAGGCUGUAGUGCUGCUGUUAACCCCCCACCUCCCAAGGGAACGCUUUGGAGGACCUAAGUGCUUC
rnacentral:lncRNA from 1 species